AAUGAACGCUGGCGGCGUGCCUAAUACAUGCAAGUCGAGCGAACAGACGAGGAGCUUGCUCCUCUGACGUUAUCGGCGGACGGGUGAGUAACUCGUGGAUAACCUACCUAUCAGACUGGGGUAACUUCGGGAAACCGGGUCUAAUACCGGAUAAUAUAUUGAACUGCAUUGUUCAAUAGUGAAAGACGGUUUUGCUUUCACUUAUAGAUUGAUCCGCGUCGCAUUAGCUAGUUGGUAAGGUAACGGCUUACCAAGGCAACGAUGCGUAGCCGACCUGAGAGGGUGGUCGGACACACUGGAACUGAGACACGGUCCAGACUCCUACGGGAGGCAGCAGUAGGGAAUCUUCCGCAAUGGGCGAAAGCUUGACGGAGCAACGCCGCGUGAGUGAUGAAGGUCUUCGGAUCGUAAAACUCUGUUAUUAGGGAAGAACAAAUGUGUAAGUAACUAUGCACGUCUUGACGGUACCUAAUCAGAAAGCCACGGCUAACUACGUG
rnacentral:rRNA from 1 species